UGUUAAAAAUUUCAUCCAUUUCUACUGUUAAAAAUUAGCGUCACUAACGGAAUAAUCAGAUAGUUACACAAGGCAUGCCAUGUGUAUCUCAUGCUGACGUAUAGGACCAGUUUUUAACAGUAGAAAUGGAUGAAAUUUUUAAUA
rfam:Gossypium raimondii Chr06_contig_245, whole genome shotgun sequence.